GACGAACGCUGGCGGCGUGCUUAACACAUGCAAGUCGAACGGAAAGGCCCUGCUUUUGUGGGGUGCUCGAGUGGCGAACGGGUGAGUAACACGUGAGUAACCUGCCCUUGACUUUGGGAUAACUUCAGGAAACUGGGGCUAAUACCGGAUAGGAGCUCCUGCUGCAUGGUGGGGGUUGGAAAGUUUCGGCGGUUGGGGAUGGACUCGCGGCUUAUCAGCUUGUUGGUGGGGUAGUGGCUUACCAAGGCUUUGACGGGUAGCCGGCCUGAGAGGGUGACCGGCCACAUUGGGACUGAGAGACGGCCCAGACUCCUACGGGAGGCAGCAGUUGGGAAUAUUGCACAAUGGGCGGAAGCCUGAUGCAGCAACGCCGCGUGCGGGAUGACGGCCUUCGGGUUGUAAACCGCUUUCGCCUGUGACGAAGCGUGAGUGACGGUAAUGGGUAAAGAAGCACCGGCUAACUACGUG
rnacentral:rRNA from 1 species